rnacentral:pre_miRNA from 1 species
GAUUGGAAGCAUGAGCUUCAAAACCAAGAGGUUGUUUAGAGAUUGCCUUCACAACAAAUUUUCUAUUGCAUUCUUGAUAUGUAGACCCUCCUCUGAUGCAUUUGUAAUGAUGAUCCAAACUUGGUUGUUGGAACCUCAAAACAUUAUGUUCUAUUUGAGUUUCCCUUUUGUGUCGUGAAGCUUUUGAUAUCCAAGA